CUUUAAUCCAUUUCUCUCUCAACUCUCUCUCUCUCUAAGACUCACGUUCUCUCUCUCAAAUCCAGUAUUUGGCGAAUGAGAGAGGUGACUACGACGAUUGAUACGAUCGGUUCCAUUUCCAACCUUCUAGCAGAUCUGCAGCGCCAGUGAAGAAAUUUACCGAGAACGAUGAUGAACAGUCUGGCGGUUAGUUGAUUGUGGUUUUUGAUUUAGUUAGAAUUUGUUAACUAGAGAAUUAGAUAGUUUAUGUGAGUUAAUUAGGUCAUGAAAUUAGGUAUUUAGGUACACUUAGAGUUUAGGUCAUGAAAUUAGGUAUUUAGGUAAUUUAAAGAUCCUUUCUAUUUACUCAAACUAAUUUUGUUGUUUUUGUUAGGGUUAGUUGAUUAUGAUAUACAAACUUACGGUUAUAUUUUGUGGAUAAGAACCGGUAAGUUCCUUGAAUCGGCAUACACUAAAGAGAAGAUUGUCCCUUGCGUGUUCUUCAGUGAGUGCUUUCCAUCUCACCUUCUCUUGGUUGCCUGUAUCCACAAUUACAGACAAAGUCCUAACAGGUUCAACCCUUUAUUUAUGCAUAAAAGACAAAGUCAUAACAGGUUUAUUAAUGCGUAUGGAUUAUAAUUGUAGUUUUAAGUUCCUUAUUGGGUUUAACAUUGAGUUUGAUGAGGUUAGAGCCGGUGGUGUUCUCUAAAGUUUAGUAUGGGAAUCAUGUCACUUCGUCAUUCUCGGUUAGAAAGAUCUGUGUAAUACUAUUAAGAAUGUGCACUUAAAGGGUUGUUUUUUUGUGAAGCCUAUCAUAUGAAAAAAAUACUGAAGUAUCAUGGUGUGUGUUCUGAUCAUUGCAUAGAGGAUUGUGCAUGGCUAAAGACCAGAAUAGACCGAACCGAAAACCGUCAACGAGUUUUGAUUGUAACCUCCGAAAGUGAUGCCCGUAUUCCAAUGAUACAAAAGUUGCACAUAUAUCCUGGAAAUGUUACAUGUAUAUUGUUACCAGAUGGUCGGCUUGGCUUAUCACGAGCAAGGUGUUUCAUCUGACAGAGCUCGAUAUACCAUAGUCAUAUCACAUUCUUUCCUUUCAUCACGACUAGCUGGGAUACCUGCGAUUAAGGCUUAAUUGUUAGAAUCGCAGCAAGUACAUCCCCGAUAGAAUCGCAGGUACGUUACCUUUUUUUGUUAUGUUUCAUGUCAGAUGCAUUUUCAUUAGCAGUCUCACAUCUACAUAAACUGAACGAGUUGCAAUUCUAUUGUUAUUACCAGAAGGUGAUUAUGGGAUAGGGGUGUGCACGGUUCCGUUCAGUUUUUGGUUUUUAAAAACUGUUCGGUAUAUUAUUUGCAUGAAGUUUUAUAGGAAAAAGGGUAAAAAAAUUCAAAAGAGACGAUAGAAAUCAAGAAAAGGUUAAUUACUUCUUGAAUAACAGCAUAAGUUACGGUUCAUGACUCAAAAUUGAACUUUUGUCAAAUUGAACGGUGUGUGGCACCCCCAUGGGUUGAGAUGGCAGUGGGGUAACGCACACUACACAUAGUCUAGAAAACAAUAGUAGUAAAACAUAAUAUAAUUCCUUUACCAACUAUUUAAAUAUUUCAUUAAAUUGACUCGUGUAAUACACAUUUGUAGCCUAGUUUAUAUAUAAAUUAAUUAACUAAUAAUAAAAAAUCCGAACUCGAUCUUGCAAGUUAUCUCUCAAGCCGAGCUCGAGCUUUAUAAUUUAAGCUUCAAAUAAGCUAAUUAAGUGCACAGGUAAGUUAAAUGAGUUGAGCCCAAGCUCUCAUACGUUAAACAAGUCAAGCAAGGGUUCACACCCCUAGUAAAAGGUUGUUGACAAAAAAGAGGAAUUUCAUUUACACCAUAAGUCUGUUAGGGAGAAGGGGUGUAAGCGGGUAUCCCUACCUGCAACUCAAACACCGCCGCCGGUGGUGUGGGUUGGGUUGGGGACUACCCGAUUGCUUUUGAAAGUAAGGAAGAAGGUUGGACAGUCUAAGUGGCCCCAAACAGGGCAAUGAUGAUCUAGGUAACCUGAGGCAACAAGAUUGGAGGGAGUUAGAGUAUAAGGUUUAAGCACCCUUCCCCUUACGUACACAAUAACAUAGUUAUAUGUCAUUUUCCUCUUAUAACAUGACUAACAUGAAAUUCAAUGAAACAAUAGAGAUAAACAGAUAUGGGAAAGCCCACCUUUGAGAAACAGCAACGAAAUCCCAUGUAGAUACGAAGACUCAGCUGAUCUGAAUCAUCUGAUAGGGCAAGAGUUGACUCUUGUGACAACUCGAACUUCCAAGAUUUCUAUUUCGCAUUUAUUGCACGUUCUUGAAUUGUUUGGUUGAUUAUUUGCACAAUUAAUUGCUGUGGAAUUAUAUACGUUUUGAUGCAAUGAAGUGUAUUGUGUGAUUGUG